UGGAUCACAAGGAGGAAAUUUGGGGGGGAGGGGGGUGUUCAUACACAGUCAAUCCAUGAUGUAUUGAACUUGAAGAGGAUAGUGAAAUAGUUUGAUAUAUAAAUAAUUUGAAAUAUAGCAUAUGUCUAUCUGAAGCCUAUAUGUGACCUCUGCAAGCGUGGCAUAUUCCCAGGGUCAUGAAAAGGGGUAAUUUAAAAUUUUGCUACUUUCAGGCCAUCUGGGACUGGGAGAAAUUGGGGAAUGUGCAAUGAGAGUUGGAGUGAAAAAUAAUAGGCGUAAUGUUGAGAGACCGCAGCAAAUUGGGGUAGACUAGGAAGCAAGCAGGUGUUGCCAAUAUUUUAGUUCACAUGAGGAGGAAGAAAGAGUUUGGUGGGACAUGUAAAGCAUAGGGCAGAUGACCGGUGGUCAGUGAAGAGUUUCAUAAUAGAUUCCAAGAGGAGGGAAGCGCAGUCAAGGGCAGCAGACAACUCGGUAGUGCAAUGAAAUUUUGAAAUUUUGCGAGGUCAUGGAAUUGAAUCUUGACCGUGGCGACCGCAUUUCGAUGGGGGCGAAAUGCAAGAGUGCCCUUGUACCAUGCAUUUGGUGCACAUUAAAGAACCCGAGCUGGUGGAAAUUAAUCCGGAGUCCCCCACUACAGCGUGCUUCACAAUCGGAUCAUAGUUUUUGUACAUGAAACCCCGGAAUUAAAUUUCAUAUAUAUAUAUAUAUAUAUAUAUAUACUAUAUAUGUGCAUUGGGAAAUUUCGAGACAUGGGAUGUGGCACUUCCAUACAAGUCGUUGAUUAUUAACAAUUUCCCAAUCACCUUUGGCAACGGUUUGGUGGCUGUGACCUUCUGCCGCUGAGGUCCUGGGUUCGGCUUUUGCCCACUGCUGCUACAUGGUGAUAGAAGCCAAAACUGUACAGGUACUUUGAUUUACGUGAAUGUUACCCUCCACUAUGGCAUCCCGCUGCUCAGUUUUGGGGUGUUACACCUCAUAUUAAUUCCAUGUUUGUAAUGCAAACAGGAAUGAAGAGCAAAUUGUAGCUGUUCUGUAUUCAGUAAAUGUCCAUUAUGAUGUUCACUGAAUGUAUUUUCUCUCCAUAUAUAUAUUUGGACAAAUGAACGAAAAGCUAAUGCGCCCACAAUUAUGUCUUCUCAUGUACCACGACCAAGCAGCUGUAGGAUGCAAUUGGCCUCAUCAGUCCUCGCUGGCUUUUUGUCGACGCACCCAACAUCCUUACAAUGUUCAACACAUAUUGUUGCGCGGCCGGUAGAUCGGACUGCAUUCCACCUUUGUUGAGUUUAAGGGGUUGCCCACAGCCAUGAUGAAAACCAUGCGCGUCAUCUGACUGGCCUUCCAACUGUCGGGUCAUCCUUGCUUCCUUGCGUCCCUUGGUUUUCAGGGUGACGAAAGAUUCUGCAAGGGGGUCCGGCAUGGAAAGCUUGAGAUGCUGGCUUUUUCUGAGCUUACAGGGCACAAUCGAAAUUUUUGUACAAGGCACUCCCACUGUACCGCAAAAGGUGCAUGUGCACAGACACUGAACGUGGCAUGAGCUAUCAUUGAGGAGGAAAGCCAGUAAAAUUAGGAAAAAUGCUCUUUUGUGUAUUUUUGUUUAUAGUGAAUGUGUGUGUUGUGCACUUGUGUACAGUAUAGCAGCGAUAUGUUUUUCAAGGGACUUCGGGGGGAAAAUUGUAAUGACUGGGAAAAAACAGUUGUGAAAGCUGCAGAUUGCUACAGCAGCAUCGGUGACAGCUCUGAAUGGCUGCCAGUGCAGUUACUAUUCGACGCUUUGGCGUUCUCACUGGCACCAGGGGCAUUGCGUGUGCACGUGUAUAGUUAACAGACAACAUACAAUUUUCCGUGACAGUGGCCUCUUAUAACUCUCAAUAUGCUUCACCGCAUAACACAGCUUUAUCGCGGCAAAGCUGACUUAAGCGAACCAGCAAUUAUGCAAUGCAUAUAAGAUCCUUGCCACACCCAAAAUGAAUGUUGCCAUGCGGUUGGAGAACUUGGCCCAGCAUGCAUUGUUCUCAAUAGAUUUUAGUUGAUGCACAAUUCUUCGGGUGCUUCGCCAACUUUGGUUGACUGUUGCAAUGUACCGAUUGCUUGAAUGUUUCAGUGUAUACAUUUAUCAGCUUAGUAAAACAACUGAAAGCAAAUUUCCAUCCCUCUGCUAAAUUUACCUUGCUGCCAUGUUCAAAUGCAACCUAUGAAGCGGGAACAUUGCACAAUAGGAACAUAAUACAUGGGAUUCAGGUAGGGACCACUGAAACACGAAUAGUAGCCGGGAAAUUGCAACAGCGAGGAACAUAUCAGUGGGGUUCCACUGUAUGGGGUGCUCUUUAUAUGGACACAUGGAUCCAGAUUUGAUGCAAACCAUUCAGUCUAGCUGGCAACUUUGUCCAAGGGAACUAGCUUUCUUGUAUCUUUGAAGUUUGGCAUAGGUUUGCUUGUGAAGCCUUCUUCUGUGCCUUUCUUGGGCUCUUGGCUUCUUGAAAUUUGAUGACCUUCUGUGUAUUGGGACUAAAGGAAAUUGUCUGCAAAAGCAACACUUCUUAAAAUGUUGGCUCCUUGCAAUAAAUUUCAAAAAUUUAUUAGAUUGCAGUAGUUGUAACAAGUGCCAUGGCUGUUAGGAAUGGGGUCUACAAGAGCAGUACUGUCAGUAACUAGACCAACGUGACAAACUUGAAAUUGAGUAGCUUUUCUUUUUAUUGUUAUCAAUUUUCCAGCCUCAACCAGAAUGAAGAAUAAGCUAGUAGAACGUCUGUUUAGCUAGAAUGCUCAAGUUUGUCUUAUACCCUGCCAUGUGAUUGAAGCGUUCCACCUCGGAGUUGAUGAAGGUGUUGCCUGUAGUCAUGAUGAAAACCAUGCGCGUCAUCUGACUGGCAUUCCAGCUGUCAGGUCAUCCUUGCUUCCUUGCGUCCCUCGGUUCUCGGGUGACAAAAGACUUUAGCGAGGAUGUCUGGUAUGGAAAGCUCAAGAUGCUGGCUUUUUCUGAGCUUGCA
rnacentral:lncRNA from 1 species